AUGCACUGAUCCAGUUUCCGUUCACCCCAUUGGACCUCAUUUGAGUUACUAACUCUCAGGAACCAAUCCUUCCAUCCCUUAGUAGGACUGGGCCAGGAACGAAAAGCAUCUUUCCAUAGAUCUAAAGAGAAAUUCUCUGCUCUAAAAGGGAUUCUGUUUGUCUCUGCGUUUAUAUGAUCGGUGAGAUCCAAGUUUCCUAGUGGACCAAGGCAUUGGAGACGGGGU
rnacentral:lncRNA from 1 species